ACUCUUACGGGAGGCAGCAGUGGGGAAUAUUGCACAAUGGGGGAAACCCUGAUGCAGCCAUGCCGCGUGUGUGAAGAAGGCCUUCGGGUUGUAAAGCACUUUCAGUAGGGAGGAAGGUAGUGUAGUUAACACCUGCAUUAUUUGACGUUACCUACAGAAGAAGCACCGGCUAACUCCGUGCCAGCAGCCGCGGUAAUACGGAGGGUGCGAGCGUUAAUCGGAAUUACUGGGCGUAAAGCGCAUGCAGGCGGCCUGUUAAGUCAGAUGUGAAAGCCCGGGGCUUAACCUCGGAAUUGCAUUUGAAACUGGCAGGCUAGAGUCUUGUAGAGGGGGGUAGAAUUUCAGGUGUAGCGGUGAAAUGCGUAGAGAUCUGAAGGAUACCAGUGGCGAAGGCGGCCCCCUGGACAAAGACUGACGCUCAGAUGCGAAAGCGUGGGGAGCAAACA
rnacentral:rRNA from 1 species